UACAGAGGGGGCAAGCGUUGUUCGGAAUUACUGGGCGUAAAGGGCGCGUAGGUGGCCUUCUAAGUUGAACGUGAAAUCCCUGGGCUCAACCCAGGAACUGCGUCCAAGACUGGGAGGCUUGAAUCCGGGAGAGGGAUGCGGAAUUCCAGGUGUAGCGGUGAAAUGCGUAGUUAUCUGGAGGAACACCGGUGGCGAAGGCGGCAUCCUGGACCGGUAUUGACACUGAGGCGCGAAAGCCAGGGGAGCAAACGGG
rnacentral:rRNA from 1 species